rnacentral:rRNA from 1 species
CCUACGGGGUGCAGCAGUGGGGAAUAUUGCGCAAUGGGCGAAAGCCUGACGCAGCGACGCCGCGUGAGGGAUGAAGGUCUUCGGAUCGUAAACCUCUGUCAGCAGGGAAGAACGGUCACUGUGCUAAUCAGCAGUGAAUUGACGGUACCUGCAAAGGAAGCACCGGCUAACUCCGUGCCAGCAGCCGCGGUAAUACGGAGGGUGCGAGCGUUAAUCGGAAUUACUGGGCGUAAAGCGCUCGUAGGCGGUAUGUCAAGUCAAGGGUGAAAUCCCCGCGCUCAACGUGGGAACUGCCUUUGAAACUGGCAAACUGGAGUGUGUGAGAGGAUAGUGGAAUUCCAGGUGUAGGAGUGAAAGCCGUAGAUAUCUGGAGGAACAUCAGUGGCGAAGGCGACUAUCUGGCACAUAACUGACGCUGAGGAGCGAAAGCGUGGGUAGCAAACAGGAUUAGAUACCCCAGGAGUC